GACGAACGCUGGCGGCGUGCUUAACACAUGCAAGUCGAACGGAAAGGCCCCUUUGGGGGUACUCGAGUGGCGAACGGGUGAGUAACACGUGAGUAACCUGCCCUUGACUUCGGGAUAACUUCAGGAAACUGGGGCUAAUACCGGAUAGGAAUCCUUGCUGCAUGGUGGGGGUUGGAAAGCUUCGGCGGUUUUGGAUGGACUCGCGGCUUAUCAGCUUGUUGGUGGGGUAGUGGCUUACCAAGGCUUUGACGGGUAGCCGGCCUGAGAGGGCGACCGGCCACAUUGGGACUGAGAUACGGCCCAGACUCCUACGGGAGGCAGAAGUGGGGAAUAUUGCACAAUGGGCGGAAGCCUGAUGCAGCACCGCCGCGUGCGGGAUGACGGCCUUCGGGUUGUAAACCGCUUUCAGCAGGGGCGAAGCUUGUGGUGACGGUACCUGCAGAAGAAGCACCGGCUAACUACGUG
rnacentral:rRNA from 1 species